AACGAACGCUGGCGGCAUGCCUAACACAUGCAAGUCGAACGAGACCUUCGGGUCUAGUGGCGCACGGGUUCGUAACGCGUGGGAACCUGCCCUUAGGUUCGGAAUAACUCCCCGAAAGGGGUGCUAAUACCGGAUAAUGUCUUCGGACCAAAGAUUUAUCGCCUUUGGAUGGGCCCGCGUUGGAUUAGCUAGUUGGUAGGGUAAAAGCCUACCAAGGCGACGAUCCAUAGCUGGUCUGAGAGAAUGAUCAGCCACACUGGGACUGAGACACGGCCCAGACUCCUACGGGAGGCAGCAGUGGGGAAUAUUGGACAAUGGGCGAAAGCCUGAUCCAGCAAGGACGCGUGAGUGAUGAAGGCAUUAGGGUUGUAAAGCUCUUUUACCCGGGAUGAUAAUGACAGUACCGGGAGAAUAAGCUCCGGCUAACUCCGUG
rnacentral:rRNA from 1 species